AACUGUCUUGAACUGUGCACAAUCAAAUUCUGUAACCGUCUUUAAAAAUAAUAGUUGUGGUGAAAAGUUUGUUAUAAUACAAGUUUGUUGUGGCGAUUUUGUAUUUCAGAAUGAGCGUUGAGUUGAGCUGUAAGACUCCUCCGUUUUUACUGUUUACACUGUUGACUCCGUUUGUCUGUAUACCCAAUAUCCACUUACUAUUCCUAAACUCUGCAACAAAUUGGCGGAUUGGUAAUGAAUGGAAUAACUUAUACGUUCAUCUUGUAAGUAUCGAACCAACAUUGCAACCAAACCAAUCUUUUUUCAGACCUUACAAUGAAUUUCAAAGACAGGGAUCGAAACCGUUACAAGAGACUUAAUGCACUUGCCGUCCCAUCACUUCAUUUGUUGGGAGGAACCAAAAAUACCGUACUUCGAUACCUGCGCAGCGAGAUUUGUCGCUUACGUAAGAGAGCGAAAUCUUUCAAAGACAGACUAUCCCAGGCUGCUAAAUUGUGCAAAGUCAAUGCCUUUGGAGAGGUGGUGAAAAAUAUGAGCAAACGAGCUCAGCUCCGAAAGGUCGACGUUUUACCGUUGAUGAAAAACUGCUUGCCCUUUCACUUUAUAAAAAAAGUCCCAAAGGGUAUGGAUUGCUCUACAAAUAUUUUACAUUACCUUCAAGCAAAUCGAUGAAGCGUCUGCUCACUCAAGUGAAAUUUCGUAUGGGUUUAAAUCCUACGUAUUCCAAAAAAUCCGCCAUACUGUGCUGCGGAAUAAAAAACAAGACCGCCUCUGCAGCUUAAUUGAUUGUACGUAUGGGAUUGGUGGUUCGUUAAUAUAAUCAUUUCUAAGUGUUUGAGAAACAGGUAACGAGAUCGUGAAAAAAUGGAGAAGCGUGAGGGACAACUUUUUCGAUAUGUAAAAAAAUUAAAAGAAAACAGUUCGUCUGGAUCAGGGGCAAAACAAUUUAAAAAAUAUCAUUAUUACAAUCAGUUGCAAUUUUUGUU